UGAGUUUGAUUAUGGCUCAGGAUGAACGCUGGCGGUAUGCCUUAUACAUGCAAGUCGUACGGGGGUUUUUAACUUAAGUGGCGGACGGGUGAGUAACACGUAAGAAUUUGCCUUUAGGAGGGGGACAACAACUCGAAAGGGUUGCUAAUACCCCAUAUGCUUUCGAGUGAAACGGAUUUUCCGCCUAAAGAGAAGCUUGCGGCUGAUUAGCUUGUUGGUAAGGUAAUGGCUUACCAAGGCGACGAUCAGUAUCUGGUUUGAGAGGAUGAUCAGACACACUGGAACUGAGACACGGUCCAGACUCCUACGGGAGGCAGCAGUAGGGAAUUUUCCGCAAUGGGCGAAAGCCUGACGGAGCAAUACCGCGUGAGGGAUGACUGCCUAUGGGUUGUAAACCUCUUUUUUCAGGGAGGAACAUAAUGACGUGUACCUGAAGAAUAAGCAUCGGCUAACUCCGUGCCAGCAGCCGCGGUAAGACGGAGGAUGCAAGUGUUAUCCGGAAUCA
rnacentral:rRNA from 1 species